rnacentral:rRNA from 1 species
UACGUAGGGGGCGAGCGUUGUCCGGAUUUACUGGGCGUAAAGGAUGCGUAGGCGGACAUUUAAGUCAGAUGUGAAAUACCCGAGCUUAACUUGGGUGCUGCAUUUGAAACUGGGUGUCUAGAGUGCAGGAGAGGUAAGUGGAAUUCCUAGUGUAGCGGUGAAAUGCGUAGAGAUUAGGAAGAACACCAGUGGCGAAGGCGACUUACUGGACUGUAACUGACGCUGAGGCAUGAAAGCGUGGGGAGCAAACAGG